UACGUAGGGUGCAAGCGUUGUCCGGAAUCAUUGGGCGUAAAGCGCGUGUAGGCGGCUUGUUAAGUCCGCUCUGAAAGCCCGGGGCUCGACCCCGGGAGGCGGGUGGAUACUGGCAAGCUCGAGUCCGGAAGAGGCGAGUGGAAUUCCUGGUGUAGCGGUGAAAUGCGCAGAUAUCAGGAGGAACACCAAUGGCGAAGGCAGCUCGCUGGGACGUGACUGACGCUGAGACGCGAAAGCGUGGGGAGCAAACAGG
rnacentral:rRNA from 1 species